GACGAACGCUGGCGGCGUGCUUAACACAUGCAAGUCGAACGGAAAGGCCCUGCUUUUGUGGGGUGCUCGAGUGGCGAACGGGUGAGUAACACGUGAGUAACCUGCCCUUGACUUUGGGAUAACUUCAGGAAACUGGGGCUAAUACCGGAUAGGGGCUCCUGCUGCAUGGUGGGGGUUGGAAAGUUUCGGCGGUUGGGGAUGGACUCGCGGCUUAUCAGCUUGUUGGGGGGGUAGUGGCUUACCAAGGCUUUGACGGGUAGCCGGCCUGAGAGGGUGACCGGCGACAUGGGUACUGAGAGAGGGCCCAGACGCCUACGGGAGGCAACAGGGGGGAAUAUUGCAGAAUGGGCGGAAGCCUGAUGCAGCAACGCCGCGUGCGGGAUGACGGCCUUCGGGUGGUAAACCGAUUUCGCCUGUGACGAGGCGUGAGUGACGGUAAUGGGUAAAGAAGCACCGGCUAACUACGUG
rnacentral:rRNA from 1 species